UACGGGGGGGGCAAGCGUUGUUCGGAAUUACUGGGCGUAAAGGGUUUGUAGGCGGCUUGUUAAGUCAGACGUGAAAUCCCUCAGCUUAACUGGGGAACUGCGUCUGAUACUGGCGAGCUUGAGUGCAGGAGAGGAACGCGGAAUUCCAGGUGUAGCGGUGAAAUGCGUAGAUAUCUGGAGGAACACCGAUGGCGAAGGCAGGUCUCUGGGCUGAAACUGACGCUCAUGCACGAAAGCGUGGGGAGCAAACAGG
rnacentral:rRNA from 1 species